rnacentral:rRNA from 1 species
GAUGAACGCUAGCGGCAGGCCUAAUACAUGCAAGUCGUACGGCAACACAGUUGCGAGCAAUCGCAACCGGUGGCGAGUGGCGCACGGGUGAGUAACGCGUAUGUAACCUACCCUUCUCCGGGACAUAACUCCGCGAAAGCGGUGCUAAUAUCCCAUACCAACUCAUCAAGACAUCUUCUUGAGUUGAAAGCAGCAAUGCGGUGAAGGAUGGGCAUGCGUCCCAUUAGCUGGUUGGUGAGGUAAUGGCCCACCAAGGCUACGAUGGGUAGGGGUUCUGAGAGGAAAGCCCCCCCACACUGGUACUGAGACACGGACCAGACUCCUACGGGAGGCAGCAGUAAGGAAUAUUGGGCAAUGGUCGAAAGACUGACCCAGCCAUGCCGCGUGCAGGAUGAAGGCCCUAUGGGUUGUAAACUGCUUUUAGCCGGGAAUAAACACCCGUUUUAAACGGGCCCAAGGUACCGGCUGAAUAAGCAUCGGCUAACUCCGUGCCAGC